CCUACGGGAGGCAGCAGUGGGGAAUAUUGCACAAUGGGGGAAACCCUGAUGCAGCGACGCCGCGUGAGUGAAGAAGUAAUUCGUUAUGUAAAGCUCUAUCAGCAGGGAAGAAAAUGACGGUACCUGAGUAAGAAGCCCCGGCUAACUACGUGCCAGCAGCCGCGGUAAUACGUAGGGGGCAAGCGUUAUCCGGAUUUACUGGGUGUAAAGGGAGCGUAGACGGCAGUGCAAGUCUGGAGUGAAAGGCGGGGGCUCAACCCCCGGACUGCUCUGGAAACUGUAGGGCUGGAGUGCAGGAGAGGUAAGUGGAAUUCCUGGUGUAGCGGUGAAAUGCGUAGAUAGUAGGAGGAACCCCAGUGGCGAAGGCGGCUUACUGGACUGUAACUGACGUUGAGGCUCGAAAGCGUGGGUAGCAAACAGGAUUAGAUACCCUAGUAGUC
rnacentral:rRNA from 1 species